rfam:Aedes albopictus isolate Foshan contig71791, whole genome shotgun sequence.
UGUUCUGUGGCUUAGUUGGAUAAAGCGCUAGUCUAGCAAAAACGAAGUCGUGGGUUCGAAUCCCACCAGAACGC